rnacentral:rRNA from 1 species
CGACCGGCGCACGGGUGAGUAACGCGUACGCGACCUACCUCUAAGAGGGGAAUAGCCCUGGGAAACUGGGAUUAAUGCCCCAUAGUCCUAAGUUGCUGCAUGGCGACUUGGGUAAAGCUACGGUGCUUAGAGAUGGGCGUGCGUCUGAUUAGCUAGUUGGUUGAGGUAACGGCUCACCAAGGCGACGAUCAGUAGGGGGCGUGAGAGCGUGACCCCCCACACGGGUACUGAGACACGGACCCG